rnacentral:lncRNA from 1 species
AACAUCUGUGCCAGUCUUCCUCUAUUUUCUAUGUGGGUCACCACCACAGCAUGGCUUGGCAAGUGGUGUAGGUCCAUGCCUGGGAUCCAAACUGGUGAACCCAGACCACCGAAGCGUGGCACACAGAACUUUAACCACUCGGGCCUGGCCCCAAAUACUUUUUAUUUUUUAAAAACAUAACAUUUUAGAAUAUACAACAUUUGUUGAAGUGGUACAGUACAGUAGUGGUUCUGGCAGUGUUGCUGAUUUAAUUAUAUAAUAGCUAUAUUUGUUUCUCACCUAUAAAAUGGAAACAUCAUCAUCUUCUCAGAACCUCUGUGAUGGCAUCAGGAUGAUGUCAGCGUUAAAUGAAAUCAUACAUAUAAGUUCCUAAAAGGUAAAUGCUAAUGCAAGCUGCAAUUGUGAUUGACAGAAGCCUUAAAAAUGAAAAUAAACUGAGUCAGUUUUUAUUUAUUUUUAAAAUAUUUACAUACAAGUUUUCAAGUGGUUAAAAAUGUCUCAAAUUGAUAACUUCUGGAAAUGCUUUGUUAAAGUUCCUAUCAUUAAGCAAAAUAUCCAGUUUUGAUAAACUAAUACACUGGAUUACCUCUGAAAUGUCACAUGACUGCUUUGAACAUCAGCGCUCUUAAAUUUUUUUUAAUUAGUUCACUCUGCUCUUCUCUAAGGAAAGCAGCUUCUAUUUAUCUUUAGCAUAUGUUCUUAAAAACUGGUAGGAAGCGGAAGAUAAAAUUAUAUUAAUGUCACUAUAGUACCUUUUAAAAGCAUGUUUUAGUCCAAACCAAAACUUUUAUAUUGUUUUUAAAUAGGUUAUCUUAUUAAGUCCUAUUUUCCAUACUGCCAAUUAUUUUUCUAAAACACAACUAAAACCAAAGUUUCACUACACAACAGUUGGCCUAACUACAUGUAACACUUUCUGGUAUUUUCUGUUCUAUGAUGUGCUAAAAAUUUUCCACAAGUGCAGCAGUACUGGGGAGCAGGAGGGAUAGAAAUUUCCCUUCUGUUAUUUAUAAGUGAUAUUAGGUUGAAAUAUUGUGACUGCUUUUUGAGAGCAUGGUUCUAAAUCUAAAUUUUUCUGCCUUUUUCUAACAAUCAGUUAUCAAAAAGAAGCAUAGCAGAACCAAGGUAAAUUUAAAUUUAAUAUUGUUAAACAGUGUUCAAGAUAAACUUUCCUCUAUAUUUUAUGUAUAUAUACACACAGUACAGCAUUAACAAGUUAUUUUAUAUGAAAAUAUUUAGCUAGAAGCACAGUGAUAAUUUUAUCAAAGUAUAAAAUAUUUUAAUGAACACAGUUAAAG